rnacentral:rRNA from 1 species
GACGAACGCUGGCGGCGUGCUUAACACAUGCAAGUCGAGCGAUGAAGUUCCUUCGGGAAUGGAUUAGCGGCGGACGGGUGAGUAACACGUGGGUAACCUGCCUCAUAGAGGGGAAUAGCCUUCCGAAAGGAAGAUUAAUACCGCAUAAGAUUGUAGUAUCGCAUGAUAUAGAAAUUAAAGGAGCAAUCCGCUAUGAGAUGGACCCGCGUCGCAUUAGCUAGUUGGUGAGGUAACGGCUCACCAAGGCGACGAUGCGUAGCCGACCUGAGAGGGUGAUCGGCCACAGUGGGACUGAGACACGGCCCAGACUCCUACGGGAGGCAGCAGUGGGGAAUAUUGCACAAUGGGGGAAACCCUGAUGCAGCAACGCCGCGUGAGUGAUGACGGUCUUCGGAUUGUAAAGCUCUGUCUUCAGGGACGAUAAUGACGGUACCUGAGGAGGAAGCCACGGCUAACUACGUGCCAGCCGCCGCAGUAAGAC